GUAGGUGAACCUGCGGAAGGAUCAUUAGCACGUGAGUUUUCACGUAUUAACCAAACGCGCAAUGUUUUUUACCUGCUGUCGUUUUAAGUGAUGGGUGAGGGAAUGGUGUGAGGAGCUUUGCUUCUCUAACUUACUCGUCUGGUUGUCCUCGAGACAACGCUUAAGCGGCUGCAGCGUACGAAUUUCUUCUGUUAGCCUGCACCUUGGCUUGCAGUUGGAGUAACACUAUUAACCACUUCUUUUUUAAACU
rnacentral:misc_RNA from 1 species